rnacentral:rRNA from 1 species
GACGAACCGUGCGAACGUUGUUCGGAAUCACUGGGCUUAAAGGGCGCGUAGGCGGACAAUCAAGUCAGGGGUGAAAUCCCACGGCUCAACCGUGGAAAGUGCCUUUGAUACUGACUGUCUCGAGGGAGGUAGGGGCGUGCGGAACUUCCGGUGGAGCGGUGAAAUGCGUAGAUAUCGGGAAGGAACGCCGGUGGCGAAAGCGGCGCGCUGGACCUCUUCUGACGCUGAGGCGCGAAAGCUAGGGGAGCAAACGGGAGU